rnacentral:rRNA from 1 species
CACGUAGGGGGCGAGCGUUGUCCGGAUUCAUUGGGCGUAAAGGGCGCGCAGGCGGCCCGGAAAGUCGGAUGUGAAAACUCGAGGCUCAACCUCGAGCGUGCACCCGAUACUGCCGGGCUUGAGGCAGGUAGGGGAGAUCGGAAUUCCUGGUGUAGCGGUGAAAUGCGCAGAUAUCAGGAGGAACACCGGUGGCGAAGGCGGAUCUCUGGGCCUGUCCUGACGCUGAGGCGCGAAAGCGUGGGUAGCAAACAGG